UAGCUCUCAUCUCUCUCGAAGUGUGCUCUCACGGUAAGCUCUCGCCCCUCUCUCUCUCGGUUUACCUUUCCCCAUUCAUCCCCUUCUCAUCAUCAUCUUGGCUUCUUCAAGGUGUUACGCUCGUACGUUGUAAAUCGGUGUAGGGAAAGCUUCGAAUUUACGUUUGAACUAUCCAAGAAAGGGUGAUCGUUUACGAGGAAAGUGUGGUUGAAGAAGGGAAUUAUUUUAAAAGCUAAGCAAUCGAGGUUGAGCGGCGAUGGGGAGGACGGAUGUUGAGCAGUUAAAGUCAAAAUGCGUUUCACUUUGUUUUGGAUAAUGUCGUGUCGUCAUACCCGGCAUUAUCUGUCUCUUGAUCUUUUUCCGCUGCUUGUAAUCCGAAACAAUGUUUUCAUUUAAACUCUGGUUACUAAAACUUUUGAA